rnacentral:rRNA from 1 species
AUUGAACGCUGGCGGCAGGCUUAACACAUGCAAGUCGAGCGGGGUGAUGGUGCUUGCACUAUCACUUAGCGGCGGACGGGUGAGUAAUGCUUAGGAAUCUGCCUAUUAGUGGGGGACAACAUCUCGAAAGGGAUGCUAAUACCGCAUACGUCCUACGGGAGAAAGCAGGGGAUCACUUGUGGCCUUGCGCUACUAGAUGAGCCUAAGUCGGAUUAGCUAGUUGGUGGGGUAAAGGCCUACCAAGGCGACGAUCUGUAGCGGGUCUGAGAGGAUGAUCCGCCACACUGGGACUGAGACACGGCCCAGACUCCUACGGGAGGCAGCAGUGGGGAAUAUUGGACAAUGGGGGGAACCCUGAUCCAGCCAUGCCGCGUGUGUGAAGAAGGCCUUAUGGUUGUAAAGCACUUUAAGCGAGGAGGAGGCUCUUUUGGUUAAUACCCAAGAUGAGUGGACGUUACUCGCAGAAUAAGCACCGGCUAACUCUGUGCCAGCAGCCGCGGUAA